GGGUGGGGAGGGGGGGUCUGGGGAGGGGGGGGGCAGAGAUGUUAUGGUUGGGGUUUGGGGAGAGAGGAGAGCAGCGCGGGGUGGGAGGCAGAGCCGGGCGCAGAGGGCAGCGUCGGCCCCGCAGCCCCCCCAGCAGCACUCUGCGUUGCUCGGGGAGUGCGUCCCCCCCCUUUUCUCGUCCCCCCCUUUUCUCGUCCCCCCCCCCCUCCCCCCGUUUCCAGGGCAAUCCAGAUGUCUGGGCGCAGCUCCGGCAUUGCUCAGCCCCGCUGCUCUGCCAGAUGUUUCCUUCCCCCCCCCGGCACACACGCGUUCCCCGAUGCCAACACCUCCCAUCCCACGCGCCGAGCGCACGAUCUGCUGCCUGCAUCCCUUUGCCCCCAUCUGCUGCUGCUGCUGCUGGGGAGGGGAGGGGAGGAUGGGGGGUCUGCCGCUCUCUUUGGAGCUGUGCUGCAUCUGUGCAGGAUGGCGGCAGGGAUGCAUUGGUGCGUGGGGUGCGACGGGGGUGCGUUGCUGCAGGGGAUGCGUUGGUGCAGGGAUGCUGGAACCACAAGGAUGCAAUGGGGGUGCAUUUGUGGGGGCAUGCUGGCACCGUGGGAUGCAUUGGUGCAGGGAUGCUGGCACCAUUGGGAUGCAACUUUGAUGCAUUGCUGCGGGGGAUGUAGGCACCACGGAGAUGCAAUGGGGAUGCAUUGGUGCAGGGAUGCAAGCACCAUAGAGAUGCAAUGGGGAUGCAUUGGUGCGGGGAUGCUGGCACCAUUGGAAUGUGUUGGUGCAGGGAUGCAGGCGCCGUGGGGAUGCAAUGGGGAUGUGUUGCUGCAGGGGAUGCAGGCACCACCGAGAUGCAAUGGGGAUGCAUCGGUGCAGGGAUGCUGGGACCACAGGGAUGCAAUGGGGAUGCAUUGCUGCAGGGGAUGCGGCACCAUGGCAGUGCCUGGCCCUGCUGCUGCUGCAGGACCCCCAGGACCCCCCUCCCCGCUCCCAGCUGGUGGCUGCUCUGCACUUUCUGCAUGCACGGAGCAGCCUCCAGCAGCAGCAGCAGCAGCAGCGCUCCCAUGCACUGCGCUCCCUCCUCCUGGAGCAGCAGGUCGGGCUGUGCACGCACCCAACCCACAACCAACCCCCGCUGUGCACUGGGGAGGGGGGUCAGUGGUGGGGUUGUGCCCGGGGGGGGGGGGGGGGGGCUGCCACCCCUGCUCCCCCCGCAGAUCUGGAGGCUCUGCUGGCCGACCUGCGCUCCUUUCUGCUCCUCCCUCGACCGGGAGAGCCUCAGCGCCGCAGCCCGAGCCAAGAAGCAGUCGGUGGGAGAGCUGCUGCAACGGCUGCAGGGCCCCGGCGGGUGAGCGCAACGGGGAGCAGGCGGUGCCGGGGGGGCACGGAGGGGGGCUGUGACUCAGAUCCCCCCCCCCUCACCCCGCAGCAGCAGCAGAGGAUGCAGAGUACAUGAUGAUGCGCUGCCUCUCGCCCUCCUCGGGGACCCCGCAGGGCCGGGAUGG
rnacentral:lncRNA from 1 species